rnacentral:lncRNA from 1 species
GGAUAUGCAGGGUGGUAUUUAAUAAAGCAGGUUAUUUUACAUAUUUUUUUUAAGAUCUGAUUCCUGUGAAGACAGAAAUGUUGUUGAAAAUAGCUCUAGCUCUUAGAUAAUUUUUGUACAAUUUCCAGAAACCAUUUCACCUUGUUUUCCUUAAUGUUAUACUCAGUUAUUGGUGAAAAAAGAGGACUGCUUGGCUUUUAAAAAAUAGAGCAAGGCCUGAUUCCAAAAGUGAUUUUUAGUAAUUUUCAAAUGUUAACCUUUCAAAAUUAUAAUUUUCUGAGAACCAGUUACUCAUUCAAAUCAUUUCAAAGAGUAAACACAGCUUAGGAAACUUGAAAAUUUACCAUUAAAGGCUUGUAACAAAUGCAAUGGAAGAUCCUAAUGCUCUGGG